rnacentral:misc_RNA from 1 species
GGUGCUCGUCGCACCAAAGGCAGGAGUGCUAGUAGCUCCAAAUGCAGACUGGCUAGGGGCACCAAAAGGUGAUGAAGAACCAAAGACAUUGCUUCCGAAUGCUGGCUGAGAUUGCUGGUUUGUACUUCCAAAUGGAUUUGUUUGAGUAGGAGUAGAACCAAAGCCUCCAAACAGGGGCUUCUGCCCAAAAAUGGAAGAACCUCCAAAUGAUGAAGAUGAUGAACUACCAAAAGC